GGAAACCUUAAAAUCUGAAAAUUUAUUCACAGUUUUAGGGAGUGUUUAAAGGUUUGUCUUAGGUAAAGAAUUGACCGUUCAGAAAAUUUAGAUUUUGACUGAUUGUGAUUAAAAAACUUUUGAGGCUUUCAGAUUCAUAAAUACUGGCUGUUUCAUGAUGGAUAUUCCACAGUGAUAGUUUUGGCAUCACAUCACUUAAAAAGUAAUUUCUCAUGGCAAAGGAAGACUGCUUUUUAGGGAUCUUGUGUCACACGUUAUAGGAAACUGUGUAUCAGUGCUAAUAUUAGUAAUACAGGCUAUUACUGUGGAUUUGUACUAUAUUAAUAUUAUCCUUACAUGAGGGUGGUGAGUGGUGAUUAAUAUUAUCCUUACAAAUUCUGUUUACGGGUUAGAAUUCUAAUUUAAUAGGUUGAACUAAGACCAGUGAUGGGGCUAGGGGGGCUGAUGGGCACUGUGGCCCCCCCUAGCUUGGUUAAAAUGAA
rnacentral:misc_RNA from 1 species